CGGUGGCUAAUACCGGAUGUGCCGAAAGGUGAAAGAUUAAUUGCCUGAAGAUGAGCUCGCGUCUGAUUAGCUAGUAGGUGUGGUAAAGGCGCACCUAGGCGACGAUCAGUAGCUGGUCUGAGAGGACGAUCAGCCACACUGGGACUGAGACACGGCCCAGACUCCUACGGGAGGCAGCAGUGGGGAAUUUUCCGCAAUGGGCGAAAGCCUGACGGAGCAAUACCGCGUGAGGGAGGAAGGCUCUUGGGUCGUAAACCUCUUUUCUCAGGGAAGAACACAAUGACGGUACCUGAGGAAUAAGCAUCGGCUAACUCCGUGCCAGCAGCCGCGGUAAUACGGAGGAUGCAAGCGUUAUCCGGAAUGAUUGGGCGUAAAGCGUCCGCAGGUGGCUNUGUAAGUCUGCUGUUAAAGAGUGAGGCUCAACCUCAUAAGAGCAGUGGAAACUACA
rnacentral:rRNA from 1 species